CCUACGGGAGACAGCAGUGGGGAAUAUUGCACAAUGGGGGAAACCCUGAUGCAGCGACGCCGCGUGAGUGAAGAAGUAUUUCGGUAUGUAAAGCUCUAUUAGCAGGGAAGAAAAUGACGGUACCUGAGUAAGAAGCCCCGGCUAACUACGUGCCAGCAGCCGCGGUAAUACGUAGGGGGCAAGCGUUAUCCGGAUUUACUGGGUGUAAAGGGAGCGUAGACGGCAGCACAAGUCUGGAGUGAAAUGCCGGGGCUUAACCCCGGAACUGCUGUGGAAACUGUGCAGCUAGAGUGCAGGAGAGGUAAGUGGAAUUCCUAGUGUAGCGGUGAAAUGCGUAGAUAUUAGGAGGAACACCAGUGGCGAAGGCGGCUUACUGGACUGUAACUGACGUUGAGGCUCGAAAGCGUGGGGAGCAAACAGGAUUAGAUACCCUUGUAGUC
rnacentral:rRNA from 1 species